GUCAUUUUGGCAGAUUAGUGCAUUAAAUUUAGAAUUUAAUUAAGUAUAAUUAUUAUACAUUUGAUA
rnacentral:tRNA from 1 species